rnacentral:rRNA from 1 species
AAGCGCUAUUUCUUGAUAACGCUUUGUAACUAGCAAUGUCUUGCUAGUGGCGGUCUUUGACAAUUGAAUACGAAUGAACUUCAAGUUCGACUCAUGACCAAGAUUUAAUGGUCAAGCUACUAAGGGCACAUGGUGGAUGCCUUGGCAUUAGUAGGCGACGAAGGACGUGGUAAGCUGCGAUAAGCCUCGGGGAGCUGCAAACAAGCUUCGAUCCGGGGAUCUCCGAAUGGGGCAACCCCUCCCAGUAAAACUGGGAGACUACCUUCUGAAUUCAUAGGAAGGUCAGAGCGAACCCAGGGAAGUGAACCAUCUCAGCACCUGGAGGAAGAGAAAACAACAGUGAUUUCCAGAGUAGUGGCGAGCGAAAUGGAAACAGCCUAAACCGCCUGCGGGCAACCAAAGGCGGGGUUGCAGGACCGCAUGAGUAGAGUUACCAAUCAAGAGCCUAGCUGAACGAGUUGGAAAACUCGGCCAAAGAAUGUGAAAGCCAUGUAAGCAAAAGGCUCUUGACUCGAAGCGGGAUCCUAAGUACCGCGGGGCACGUGGAACCCUGUGGGAAUCCGGGAGGACCAUCUCCCAAGGCUAAACACUCACUAAUGACCGAUAGCGAACCAGUACCGUGAGGGAAAGGUGAAAAGAACCCCUGCGAGGGGAGUGAAAUAGUACCUGAAACCGUGUGCCUACAAGCAGUGGAAGGGCGUUGCCGCAAGGCAAGCCUGACCGCGUGCCUUUUGCAUAAUGAGCCGGCUAGUUA